rnacentral:rRNA from 1 species
GACGAACGCUGGCGGCGUGCCUAAUACAUGCAAGUCGAGCGAAUCAAUAGGAGCUUGCUCCUGUUGGUUAGCGGCGGACGGGUGAGUAACACGUGGGCAACCUGCCUGUAAGACUGGGAUAACACCGGGAAACCGGUGCUAAUACCGGAUAAUUCUUUCCCUCUCAUGAGGGAAAGCUGAAAGUCGGUUUCGGCUGACACUUACAGAUGGGCCCGCGGCGCAUUAGCUAGUUGGUGAGGUAACGGCUCACCAAGGCGACGAUGCGUAGCCGACCUGAGAGGGUGAUCGGCCACACUGGGACUGAGACACGGCCCAGACUCCUACGGGAGGCAGCAGUAGGGAAUCUUCCACAAUGGACGAAAGUCUGAUGGAGCAACGCCGCGUGAGCGAAGAAGGCCUUCGGGUCGUAAAGCUCUGUUGUUAGGGAAGAACAAGUACCGGAGUAACUGCCGGUACCUUGACGGUACCUAACCAGAAAGCCACGGCUAACUACGUGCCAGCCGCCGCAGUAACAC